GAACCGUCCAAACGUUUAUUCGGAAUCACUGGGCUUAAAGGGUGCGUAGGCGGCCUGGCAAGUUGGGUGUGAAAUCCCUCGGCUUAACCGAGGAAUUGCGCCCAAAACUGCCAGACUAGAGGGAGACAGAGGUGAGCGGAACUUAGGGUGGAGCGGUGAAAUGCGUUGAUAUCCUAAGGAACACCAGUUGCGAAGGCGGCUCACUGGGUCUCUUCUGACGCUCAGGCACGAAAGCCAGGGGAGCGAACGGGAUUAGAUACCCCGGGUAGUCCUGGCUGUAAACGAUGAGCACUGGGUCGGAGGAUCCCUCCCAUAGUUUUCCGGCCGUAGCGAAAGUGUUAAGUGCUCCGCCUGGGGAGUAUGGUCGCAAGGCUG
rnacentral:rRNA from 1 species